AGAUUGAACGCUGGCGGCAGGCCUAACACAUGCAAGUCGAGCGGCAGCACGGGUACUUGUACCUGGUGGCGAGCGGCGGACGGGUGAGUAAUGCCUAGGAAUCUGCCUGGUAGUGGGGGAUAACGCUCGGAAACGGACGCUAAUACCGCAUACGUCCUACGGGAGAAAGCAGGGGACCUUCGGGCCUUGCGCUAUCAGAUGAGCCUAGGUCGGAUUAGCUAGUUGGUGA
rnacentral:rRNA from 1 species